AGCGCAGAAAGCAUUAGACCUUCGGGGGAUUUGUUGGGCGGCGAGCGGGGGACGGGUGAGUAAUGCCUGGGAACAUGCCUUAGUGGGGGGGAUAACCAUUGAAAACGAUGGCUAAUACCGCAUAAUCUCUACGGAGCAAAGAGGGGGACCUUCGGGCCUCUCGCUUUUGGAUUGGCCCAGGUGGGAUUAGCUGGUAGGUGGUCUAACGGCUCACCUAGGCGACGAUCCCUAGCUGGUCUGAGAGGAUGAUCAGCCACUGUGGAACUGAGACACGGCCUAGACUCCUACGGGAGGCAUCUGUGUGGAAUAUUGCACCGUAGGGGAAACCCUGAUGCAGCCAUGCUGCGCGUGUUAAGAAGCUCUUCGGGUUGUUUCGCACUUUCAGUCGAGAACAAGGCUGUAUCGUUAACAGCAGAACUGUUUGACGUUAACGACAGAAGACGCACCGUUCAAUUCAUGUCCAGAAGCCGCGGUAAUCCUCACGGUGCAUCCGUUAAUCCGAAAUACUGCACCGUAAAGCGCAGGCCCCCGGCUUGUUAUUCGAGAUUUGAAAAUCCCGAGGGUUCUUCCUCGGAGNUCUUUUUGAAUGUCAGGCUAGAAACUGGUAGUCGGGAUUGCAGGCGGCUUGUUAAGCCAGAUGUGAAAGCCCGGGGCUCAACCUCGGAAUCGCAUUUGGAACUGGCAGGCUAGAGUCUUGUAGAGGGGGGUAGAAUCUCAGGUGUAGCGGUGAAAUGCGUAGAGAUCUGAAGGAAUACCGGUGGCGAAGGCGGCCCCCUGGACAAAGACUGACGCUCAGAUGCGAAAGCGUGGGGAGCAAACAGGAUUAGAUACCCUGGUAGUCCACGCCGUAAACGAUGUCUACUUGGAGGUUGGUAUCUUGAACUCUGGCUUUCGGAGCUAACGCGUUAAGUAGACCGCCUGGGGAGUACGGUCGCAAGAUUAAAACUCAAAUGAAUUGACGGGGGCCCGCACAAGCGGUGGAGCAUGUGGUUUAAUUCGAUGCAACGCGAAGAACCUUACCUACUCUUGACAUCCAGAGAAGCCAGCGGAGACGCAGGUGUGCCUUCGGGAGCUCUGAGACAGGUGCUGCAUGGCUGUCGUCAGCUCGUGUUGUGAAAUGUUGGGUUAAGUCCCGCAACGAGCGCAACCCUUAUCCUUGUUUGCCAGCACUUCGGGUGGGAACUCCAGGGAGACUGCCGGUGAUAAACCGGAGGAAGGUGGGGACGACGUCAAGUCAUCAUGGCCCUUACGAGUAGGGCUACACACGUGCUACAAUGGCGCAUACAGAGGGCUGCAAGCUAGCGAUAGUGAGCGAAUCCCAAAAAGUGCGUCGUAGUCCGGAUUGGAGUCUGCAACUCGACUCCAUGAAGUCGGAAUCGCUAGUAAUCGUGGAUCAGAAUGCCACGGUGAAUACGUUCCCGGGCCUUGUACACACCGCCCGUCACACCAUGGGAGUGGGCUGCACCAGAAGUAGUAUAGCUUAAUCUUCGGGAGGGCGU
rnacentral:rRNA from 1 species